rnacentral:rRNA from 1 species
GAAUCCUAACCGUGCGAAGGUAGCGUAAUCACUUGUCCUUUAAAUGAGGACUAGUAUGAACGGUUUCACGAAGGCUGCACUGUCUCCUUUUUCUAAUCAGUAAAACUAAUCUCCCCGUGAAGAAGCGGGAAUUUUCCUAUAAGACGAGAAGACCCUAUGGAGCUUUAAACAAUUGACAACACUUGCAUCUUAAACUUUAUUUUUAUUUAACCUAGCAUUUUGUUUCUAGUUUUAGGUUGGGGUGACCAUGGAGAAAAACCCAUCCUCCAUGACGAAAGAAAUUUUAUUUCUUAGCAAAAAGCUACAUCUUAAUGCAUCAACAAAUUGACCCUAAUUGACCCAAUAAUUUGAUCAACGAACCAAGUUACCCUAGGGAUAACAGCGCAAUCCACUUCAAGAGCUCUUAUCGACAAGUGGGUUUACGACCUCGAUGUUGGAUCAGGGUGUCCUAGUGGUGCAGUCGCUA